rnacentral:rRNA from 3 species
GGACUACCGGGGUAUCUAAUCCCGUUUGCUCCCCUGGCUUUCGCGUCUCAGCGUCAGAAAACGUCCAGGACCUCGCUUUCGCCACGGGCGUUCCUUCCGAUCUCAACGCAUUUCACCGCUCCACCGGAAGUUCCAGGUCCCCCUACGUUCCUCCAGGAAGGUCGUAUCGGCGCCACUUCCCCGGUUGAGCCGGGGGAUUUCAACGACCGACGUGCCCUCCCGCCUACACGCGCUUUAAGCCCAGUGAUUCCGAAUAACGUUCGCACGGUUCGUCUUACCGCGGCUGCUGGCAC